AUGUGCCCUUCGGGGGAAAGAUUUAUCGCCAUUGGAGCGGCCCGCGUUGGAUUAGGUAGUUGGUGGGGUAAAGGCCCACCAAGCCGACGAUCCAUAGCUGGUCUGAGAGGAUGAUCAGCCACACUGGGACUGAGACACGGCCCAGACUCCUACGGGAGGCAGCAGUAGGGAAUCUUGCGCAAUGGGCGAAAGCCUGACGCAGCCAUGCCGCGUGAAUGAUGAAGGUCUUAGGAUUGUAAAAUUCUUUCACCGGGGAAGAUAAUGACGGUACCCGGAGAAGAAGCCCCGGCUAACUUCGUGCCAGCAGCCGCGGUAAUACGAAGGGGGCUAGCGUUGCUCGGAAUUACUGGGCGUAAAGGGCGCGUAGGCGGAUAGUUUAGUCAGAGGUGAAAGCCCAGGGCUCAACCUUGGAACUGCCUUUGAUACUGGCUAUCUUGAGUUCGGGAGAGGUGAGUGGAAUGCCGAGUGUAGAGGUGAAAUUCGUAGAUAUUCGGCGGAACACCAGUGGCGAAGGCGACUCACUGGCCCGUAUACUGACGCUGAGGCG
rnacentral:rRNA from 1 species